UCGGGGCACGAGAACCCUUUCAGGGCCCGUUCCCAUCCUACCCCUUCGGGGCACAGGCGAACACGGAAGUCAAGCUCUUCAGCGCUGAUGGUACUUGGGGUUACCCCCUGGGAGAGUAAGACGUUGCCGGAAAC
rnacentral:rRNA from 1 species